GCAGUCUGUAAAGUGGAUAUUGUGAUAAUUGGACCAAAUGUGAUAUGAAUACAGAAUAUAGUUUUGAUAAUAUAAGACUGAGUUCCGCUCAACUUGACAUUGUGAUUAUGUCAUGCGUUAGGUACGCCUAUAGGUUAGUAGAUAAGUGAAAUAAGUGUGCUACUGCUGUGUACAG